GUCAUUGGCAGUAAGGCAGCAACAGCAGCAGCAGCAAAAGGGCAUGAGACCUUCCUGGAAGAGGACUUAUUUUCUACCCUUUCAGAGAUGCUGCUGGAUUUAAAGAGGCGACGUCAGUGAGCAAGGAAAAGCAAAGUUCAGAUGAGUGACACCCAAACCUUCUCCAGUAUAUGAGGAUUACAUCGAACGGCUCUCCAUCUCUUGGCAAGAUUAUGUCCCUUCCUGCUUCCUCACUCUGCAAUUUUCCAUAGACAGAAGUAGCUGGAAUAUUGCAUGGUACCAUGUCUAUUCAGAAGAAACACUGUGACCUACGCAUCUGCCCCUGACCUUUAGUUGGAUCAAUAAAACUACAAAUUGGUCUUUUCUUAUCCUUGGCACUUUAGUAAUAAAAUCCCCAUCGAAAUGAAA